rnacentral:rRNA from 1 species
GAUGAACGCUGGCGGCGUGCCUAACACAUGCAAGUCGAGCGACAGCACGAGAAGAUCGCUUUCUUGCUGUUAGCGGGGGACGGGUGAGUAAGAAGUGGAUCACAAUCUUCUUAUACUGGGAUGAUUUCGGGAAAACAGUUCUAAUAAUGCCUAAUACUAUCUACCGGAUGGAUCAAAAGUUAUUCACACCUUUCGUGUUUGUAUUAGCUGAAUCCGUGCUGGAUUAGCUAGUUGGUAAGGUAACGGCUUACCAAGGCAACGAUGCAUAGCCGACCUGAGAGGAUGAUCGGCCACACUGGAACUGAGACACGGUCCAGACUCCUACGGGAGGCAGCAGUGGGGAAUCUUGCACAAUGGGCGAAAGCCUGACCGAGCCAUACCGCGUGAGUGAUGAAGGCCUUCGGGUUGUAAAGCUCUGUUGUUGGGGAAGAAAAGAAGUAGAUGAAACCGCGGCCGUCUUGACGGUACCUAAAGAAAAAGCAACGGCUAACUUCGUG